rnacentral:rRNA from 1 species
CCUACGGGUGACUGCAGUGAGGAAUAUUGGACAAUGGACGAGAGUCUGAAGGAGCAAAGUAGCGUGAAGGAAGAAGGCCCUAGGGGGGGAAAACUUCGUUGAUAAAGGAAUAAAACGAGGCACGUGUGCGUUUUUGCAUGGACGUUAUGAAUAAGGAUAGGCUACCUCCGUGCCAGCAGCGGCGGUAAUACGUAGGGUACGAGCGUUGUCCGGAUUGGUUGGGUUGAAAGGGAGCGUAGUGGGGUUGGUAAGUCAGGUGUGAAAGUUUGGGGCUCAACCGUAGAGUUGCAUUUGAUACUGGCAGUCUUGAGUGCAGUUGAGGUAGGCGGAACUCGUGGUGUAGCGGUGAAAUGCUUAGAUAUCUCGAAGCACCCCGAUUGCGAAGGCGGCUUACUAGACUGUGACUGCCGUUGAUGCUCGAAAGUGUGGGUAUCAAACAGGAUUAGAUACCCGGGUAGUC